GUGUGAAUUGCAGAAUCCCGUGAACCAUCGAGUCUUUGAACGCAAGUUGCGCCCGAUGCCAUUAGGUUGAGGGCACGUCUGCCUGGGUGUCACAUAUCGAAGCCUCCUGCCAAUUUCCUUUUGACAGGUAUUGUGCAGGGUGGAUGUUGGCCUCCCGUGAGCUCUUCCGUCUCAUGGUUGGUUGAAAAUUGAGACCUUGGUAGGGUGUGCCAUGAUAAAUGGUGGUUGUGUGACCCACGAGACCAAUCAUGCGCUGCUCUAUUGAAUUUGGCCUCUUUUACCCAUAUGCGUGUUUCUAAACGCUCGUGAUGAGACCUCAGGUCAGGCGGGGCUACCCGCUGAAUUUAAGCAUAUCAAUAAGCGGAGGAAAAGAAACUAACAAGGAUUCCCUUAGUAACGGCGAGCGAACCGGGAUAAGCCCACCAUGAGAAUCGGUCGCCCUCGGCGUUCGAAUUGUAGUCUGAAGAAAGCGUCAA
rnacentral:rRNA from 1 species